AGGGCUAUAGCUCAGUUGGUAGAGCACCUCGGAUAAUAAAAAGUUUGAUCUGUUUUACCGAGAAGGUCUACGGUUCGAGUCCGUAUAGCCCUA
rnacentral:tRNA from 1 species